AGUCGAACGGCAGCACGGACUUCGGUCUGGUGGCGAGUGGCGAACGGGUGAGUAAUGUAUCGGAACGUGCCUAGUAGCGGGGGAUAACUACGCGAAAGCGUAGCUAAUACCACAUACGCCCUUCGAAGGGGAAAGCGGGGGACCUUCGGGCCUCGCACUAUUAGAGCGGCCGAUAUCGGAUUAGCUAGUUGGUGGGGUAACGGCUCACCAAGGCGACGAUCCGUAGCUGGUUUGAGAGGACGACCAGCCACACUGGGACUGAGACACGGCCCAGACUCCUACAGGAGGCAGCAGUGGGGAAUUUUAGUUAAUGGGGGAAACCUGAUCCAGCCAUCCGCGUGUGCGAUGAAGGCCUUCGGGUUGUAAAAGCACUUUUGGCAGGAAAGAAACGGCACGGGAUAAUACCCCGUGCAACUGACGGUACCUGCAGAAUAAGCACCGGUAACUACGUGCCAGCAGCCGCGGUAAUACGUAGGGUGCAAGCGUUAAUCGGAAUUACUGGGCGUAAAGCGUGCGCAGGCGGUUCGGAAAGAAAGAUGUGAAAUCCCAGAGCUUAACUUACGGAACUGCAUUUUUUUUAACUACCGAGCUAGAGUGUGUCAGAGGGAGGUGGAAUUCCGCGUGUAGCAGUGAAAUGCGUAGAUAUGUGGAGAACACCGAUGGCGAAGGCGGCCUCCUGGGAUAACACUGACGCUCAUGCACGAAAGCGUGGGGGCAAACGGGAUUAGAUACCUGGUAGUCCACGCCCUAAACGAUGUCAACUAGCUGUUUGGGGCCUUCGGGCCUUGGUAGCGCAGCUAACGCGUGAAGUUGACCGCCUGGGGGAGUACGGUCGCAAGAUUAAAACUCAAAGGAAUUGACGGGGACCCGCACAAGCGGUGGAUGAUGUGGAUUAAUUCGAUGCAACGCGAAAAACCUUACCUACCCUUGACAUGUCUGGAAUCCCGAAGAGAUUUGGGAGUGCUCGCAAAGAAGAGAACCGGAACACAGGUGCUGCAUGGCUGUCGUCAGCUCGUGUCGUGAGAUGUUGGGUUAAGUCCCGCAACGAGCGCAACCCUUGUCAUUAGUUGCUACGAAAGGGCACUCCUAAUGAGACUGCCGGUGACAAACCGGAGGAAGGUGGGGAUGACGUCAAGUCCUCAUGGCCCUUAUGGGUAGGGCUUCACACGUCAUGUACAAUGGUCGGGACAGAGGGUCGCCAACCCGCGAGGGCCAAUCCCAGAGGCCCGAUCGUAGUCCGGAUCGCAGUCUGCAACUCGACUGCGUGAAAGUCGGAAUCGCUAGUAAUCGCGGAUCAGCAUGUCGCGGUGAAUACACGUUCCCGGGUCUUGUACACACCGCCCGUCACACCAUGGGAGUGGGUUUUACCAGAAGUAGUUAGCCUAACCGUAAGGAGGGCGAUUACCACGGUAGGAUUCAUGACUGGGGUGAAGUCGUAACAAGGUAA
rnacentral:rRNA from 1 species